rnacentral:misc_RNA from 1 species
CGCAGCCGCGGUAAUUCCAGCUCCAAUAGCGUGUAUUAAAGUUGUUGUGGUUAAAAAGCUCGUAGUUGAACCUUGGGCCUGGCUGGCCGGUCCGCCUCACCGCGUGUACUGGUCCGGCCGGGCCUUUCCCUCUGUGGAACCCCAUGCCCUUCACUGGGUGUGGCGGGGAAACAGGACUUUUACUUUGAAAAAAUUAGAGUGCCCCAGGCAGGCCUAUGCUCGAAUACAUUAGCAUGGAAUAAUAGAAUAGGACGUGUGGUUCUAUUUUGUUGGUUUCUAGGACCGCCGUAAUGAUUAAUAGGGACAGUCGGGGGCAUCAGUAUUCAAUUGUCAGAGGUGAAAUUCUUGGAUUUAUUGAAGACUAACUACUGCGAAAGCAUUUGCCAAGGAUGUUUUCAUUAAUCAGGAACGAAAGUUAGGGGAUCGAAGACGAUCAGAUACCGUCGUAGUCUUAACCAUAAACUAUGCCGACUAGGGAUCGGACGAUGUUAUUUAUUGACUCGCUCGGCACCUUAUGGGA